rnacentral:rRNA from 1 species
CCUACGGGUGGCUGCAGUGGGGGAUAUUGCACAAUGGGGGAAACCCUGAUGCAGCGACGCCGCGUGUGGGAAGACGGUCCUCUGGAUUGUAAACCACUGUCCCCAGGGACGAAGAUGACGGUACCUGGGGCGGCAGCUCCGGCUCACUACGUGCCAGCAGCCGCGGUAAUACGCAGGGAGCAAGCGUUGUCCGGAAUUACGGGGUGUAAAGGGAGCGUAGGCGGGAUGGCAAGUUGGGUGUUAAAUCUACCGGCUCAACUGGUAGUCGCACUCAAAACUGCUAUUCUUGAGUGAAGUAGAGGCAGGCGGAAUUCCUAGUGUAGCGGUGAAAUGCGUAGAUAUUAGGAGGAACACCAGUGGCGAAGGCGGCCUGCUGGGCUUUGACUGACGCUGAGGCUCGAAAGUGUGGGGAGCAAACAGGAUUAGAUACCCUUGUAGUC